rnacentral:rRNA from 1 species
CAGCCGCCACGGGAAUACGUAGGUGGCAAGCGUUGUCCGGAAUUAUUGGGCGUAAAGGGCUCGCAGGCGGUUUCUUAAGUCUGAUGUGAAAGCCCCCGGCUCAACCGGGGAGGGUCAUUGGAAACUGGGAAACUUGAGUGCAGAAGAGGAGAGUGGAAUUCCACGUGUAGCGGUGAAAUGCGUAGAGAUGUGGAGGAACACCAGUGGCGAAGGCGCCUCUCUGGUCCGUAACUGACGCUGAGGAGCGAAAGCGUGGGGAGCGAACAGGAUUAGAGACCCCCGUAGUCCCUGUCUCUUAUAC